rfam:Saprolegnia diclina VS20 unplaced genomic scaffold supercont1.27, whole genome shotgun sequence.
GUCAGUAUCGUCUAGUGGUUAGGACGCAAGCUUCACACGCUUGAGAUCGAGGGUUCGAUCCCCUCUACUGAUA